GUGCUUGCUUCAGCAGCAUAUAGACCAAAAUUGGAACAAUACAAAGAUUAGCAUGGCCCCUGUGCAAGGUGACACACAAAUUUGUGAAAGAGUUCAUUAAAAA